rnacentral:rRNA from 1 species
GGGGUCAUCCCGACUUACCAACCCGAUGCAAACUGCGAAUACCGGAGAAUGUUAUCACGGGAGGCACACGGCGGGUGCUAACGUCCGUCGUGAAGAGGGAAACAACCCAGACCGCCAGCUAAGGUCCCAAAGUCAUGGUUAAGUGGGAAACGAUGUGGGAAGGCCCAGACAGCCAGGAUGUUGGCUUAGAAGCAGCCAUCAUUUAAAGAAAGCGUAAUAGCUCACUGGUCGAGUCGGCCUGCGCGGAAGAUGUAACGGGGCUAAACCAUGCACCGAAGCUGCGGCAGCGACGCUUAUGCGUUGUUGGGUAGGGGAGCGUUCUGUAAGCCUGUGAAGGUGUGCUGUGAGGUAUGCUGGAGGUAUCAGAAGUGCGAAUGCUGACAUAAGUAACGAUAAAGCGGGUGAAAAGCCCGCUCGCCGGAAGACCAAGGGUUCCUGUCCAACGUUAAUCGGGGCAGGGUGAGUCGACCCCUAAGGCGAGGCCGAAAGGCGUAGUCGAUGGGAAACAGGUUAAUAUUCCUGUACUUGGUGUUACUGCGAAGGGGGGACGGAGAAGGCUAUGUUGGCCGGGCGACGGUUGUCCCGGUUUAAGCGUGUAGGCUGGUUUUCCAGGCAAAUCCGGAAA